ensembl:lncRNA
CAUUUUUUAAAAAUACCCUAUUUUUUUGGCAAAAUGUAGAACCGAAAAUGGUCAUUUCUUAGACCAGCUUUACCUCAGGCUUCAUUUUUGCUGUUUUGACCCUGGGCCUUUAAGGCAUAAAUAUUUAUAUCUUUUUAUUACUGAUAGUGAAACUGUGACACUAACCAUUUCUGUAAUACAAGACGGCAAAACAAGAAAAACUAUAAAGAUUAAGAUGAAAGCAGUUGUGCAGUUGAUGAACUAGAUCAUAGCGUUGUAGGCAAAAUAAAAAUGUGCAUAUCUGAGAAUAUUUUUUUUGCCGUCUCUCCCCAAGGCCAGACCUUCUGGUAGAGCACAGUUAAAAGUAACAUAAUUCUGGGCCUUUAUAAUCUGAGGGAAAUGGCUCCAGUUGGCAGUCUUCUUGUUAACAUAUGAAGCCCAAACGUGGGAAAUGGUUGGCAAAGAAUAUUUUCACAUAAAAAAAAGAAUAUGAAAAGAUAUAAAACUGGAUUAUUCAUUUAGCUCUGAAAAAUCUCAAAAAGAUAUAGUAAAAUACUAUAUAACUGGACAAAACCUGAAGAACCUAUAGAGGAUUUAUGUGAAAACAGGCUUCAAGGAUGAACUGUUACAUGCUCACCAGUUUGCUUAAGUUCGAUCAACCUUUUCUUAAAGUAAGAUAUUUGUGGACUUCUAGGAACUAGCGAUUAGCAGGUGUCCUAAAAAGAUUUUUGAGCUGAUUCCCUCAUAAGUAGCCCUAUAUGCUCUUGAAGAUUCUUACCCUUCCUCUAGUGAUCCUAAGGGAGGAAUGAGGAGUGCUCUUUAGGGUGGCAACCUGCCCUGGCAUGUCUGGGACUGAGGUGGUCCCCUUGGAUGCAAAACUUUGUGAGUGCUAAACCCAGGAAAGCCCAGGCCCACACAGCAAGGAGGAGCUGAUAGCCCUGGCUAUUCUUGUGACUUAACCUCACCUUAAACAUUGUACUAGUUUCAAUUAAGUUCAAUUGCCUUACGGCACGUGUCCUCCGGUCACUUAUUACUGUGGAUGGAAUGUGAGAUUUAAGACAAAUAAUAGCUAAUGGCACCAACGUGCUCUUGGUAGUGAGACUAACAGUAAUCCAGGAAAGAUACCCGGUGGUUGAAUGAAACAGAAGAGGCAACUAGACAGUGAAGUUCUUCAGAACCUGUGUGUAUAUGUAAGUACAGAUCAUGUCUUUAUGGGGUUAAAUUAUUAUAUCUGAAAUUUAAAUUCUCAUGGUAAAAGAAAACUGAGGAGCGUGGAUUUUUUCUCUCGAGGAAAGAUACGGCCUUUGAUGCUCUAUCUUCUGCAUUCCCCAGACUGUCCUGCUCAAGAAGCCAAAAUGUGGCAUUUUUAUGUUUAUUCUCAGUGAAUGUCGUAUUGUGAUUACUAAAUGCAUCAGCCAGGGGCAGAUCAAGGAACUGGUGUUCUGAUCCACUCUGAGCAGCACCCUCAGUUCUGAUAGCCUCCUAGCCCUCAGGUGCUUGCCAGCUAUGACACCGACACGGGAGGCAAGAUUCCUCUAAGACGGCAUUGAUUUUGUAAUGCAAUAUGAAGGGUGCAGAGUCUGUUCUUGUUCCCCUGUGGUAGUCUGCAGACUGCAUCCUCUCUGUGCACUGUGAUGUAGACGGUAGAUGUGUUCUUUGUAAGCUUUAAUCCUAUGAUUGUCAGAAGUAUGAUGUGGUUCCAUUUUUAAAAAAUUAAACAAUGAGCUGAGGCUUUAUUUCAGCUGGUUUUCAAGUUAAAGUUGUGAAAUAUUGAUUUCCUUCCCUCCACCCACACCAAAUACUUUAGUCUAUUUAAAGUACAAAAAAAAAAAAAAAAAAUAGUUCUACUUAAGAAAACAUUGCUUAAAUGUCCUGUGAUUUCUGGUCAAAUUUUAUAUAUUUGUGUGUGUCUGUAUGUGCUUUCACUUUUUACCUUGUUGACUCUCUACCUGUGUUAACAGUACUGUCACCAUUGAAAGGUGAACAUUUUUCC